UACAGGGGGGGCAAGCGUUGUUCGGAAUUACUGGGCGUAAAGGGCUCGUAGGCGGCCAACUAAGUCACACGUGAAAUCCUCAGGCUUAACCUGGGAACUGCGUGUGAUACUGGAUGGCUUGAAUUCGGGAGAGGGAUGCAGAAUUCCAGGUGUAGCGGUGAAAUGCGUAGAUAUCUGGAGGAAUACCGGUGGCGAAGGCGGCAUCCUGGACCGACAUUGACGCUGAGGAGCGAAAGCUAGGGGAGCAAACGGG
rnacentral:rRNA from 1 species